rnacentral:rRNA from 1 species
UACGUAGGGUGCAAGCGUUAAUCGGAAUUACUGGGCGUAAAGCGUGCGCAGGCGGUUCUAUAAGACAGAGGUGAAAUCCCCGGGCUCAACCUGGGAACUGCCUUUGUGACUGCAUAGCUAGAGUACGGUAGAGGGGGAUGGAAUUCCGCGUGUAGCAGUGAAAUGCGUAGAGAUGUGGAGGAAUACCGAUGGCGAAGGCAGCCUCCUGGGCCAACACUGACGCUCAUGCACGAAAGCGUGGGGAGCAAACAGG